UACGUAGGGGGCGAGCGUUAAUCGGAAUUACUGGGCGUAAAGCGUGCGCAGGCGGCUUUGCAAGACAGAUGUGAAAUCCCCGGGCUCAACCUGGGAACUGCAUUUGUGACUGCAAGGCUAGAGUACGGCAGAGGGGGAUGGAAUUCCGCGUGUAGCAGUGAAAUGCGUAGAUAUGCGGAGGAACACCAAUGGCGAAGGCAAUCCCCUGGGCCUGUACUGACGCUCAUGCACGAAAGCGUGGGGAGCAAACAGG
rnacentral:rRNA from 1 species